UACAGAGGUCUCAAGCGUUGUUCGGAUUCAUUGGGCGUAAAGGGUGCGUAGGCGGCGCGGUAAGUCGGGUGUGAAAUCUUGGAGCUUAACUCCGAAACUGCAUUCGAUACUGCCGUGCUUGAGGACUGGAGAGGAGACUGGAAUUUACGGUGUAGCGGUGAAAUGCGUAGAUAUCGUAAGGAACACCAGUGGCGAAGGCGGCUCACUGGCCCGGAACUGACGCUGAGACGCGAAAGCGUGGGGAGCAAACAGG
rnacentral:rRNA from 1 species